UUCCCUUGAGCCCUUCUUGCGUUUUCGUAGAGUUUCUUUUCACUCUUUGUGGAGUUUCUUUUCACUCUGAAACAAAUUUUCCCCCUCACCCUAAAGUUUAAAUUUUCGCCACUUCGGUUUUCCGCCCCAGUUUCAGUUCCGAAUUUUCGCCCAAGUUUCACUUCCGAUUUUUGUUUUAUUUUGUUGGGUUUAGCUUUUCUGCGUUUUGGAAUAAAACGAGAUUGGCCAGAAAUCCUUUAUCUGUUAUUUCUUUUCAAAUUCGCGAAUACCAUCUCUUACUCUCUUCUUUUUUCUUGCUAUUCUUUCCUUUCAUUCAAGAAAACCGCAAACCCUAAAUCAAGGAAAAGGGAAUUUUUGGGUGCGGCGAGGUAGAGAGUGAAAUUAAUGCUAGAAGGAAAAACGAAAAAGCGAUUGAAAUUAAAGGAGGAUUCUAGGGUUCGAGAAUUCCUAUUUGGGGAGUGAGGAGUGGCUGGCGAUAAUAGGGAGGAGAGUUUCGGUUUUAAAAGUGGUGGCACGAGGUUAGGGAGAGGGAACCAGUGAGUAUCGUGAGGUCAACCAUUAGGGUUCUAUUUGAGGUUCAGAAGGGGUUUUAUUUAAGGACGGUGAGGAGUGAGUUGUGAGCACAGAAAGAGAUUGCUUUAAGAAGUCAGAGGGAGAACUAGGUAGUGGAGAACGAGGAGUGCACAGUGACCUGAGAGUUAACGAUGAAGAGAAAUUAACCAGAAAGUUAUAUAUUGUUGAUGCACGGCCAAGAAAAAAUGCAUUGGCUAAUGGAGCCAUGGGAGGUGGUUCAAAAAUCAUCAUCAAACUAUUUUCAAUCCGAGUCUUGUUGGGGAUAGACAACAUCCAUGCGAUGAGAGACAGAUUUGUUCGGCUUCGAGAAUACAUGGACACUUAUUUCAAAGCGUCAUCAGAUGGAAUUUCCUCUUUCUUGUGUCCAAGACAACCCAACGACAAUGAUUGUGGGUAUUACGUGUGUUAAUAUAUGAAGGAAAUUAUCACAUAAUGUGAAAGAGGAACAAUUCUACCUGAUUAUUUUUCUAGUUACAAAUGUCAAUAAUAGUGUGAAAGUCAAAUCAUUGAAAUUAGGAAAAAUUAGUGUUUACAUGUGACUACUACAUGCUUAUUGAUUAUGUUAUGGUGAUGUACAUGC